CGCACUGUUUCCCCAGUGCUAGCCUACUGAGCCAAGCGUUGCUGGUAACGGCGAGGUUUGAAGCGCUCAGGACAAUGAAACGCUUCGUAAGAGAAGGAAGAACCGCGAGGUGAAACCAACGACUGCCAGCAUCAAAGCGGUCAGCGAG
rfam:Candidatus Hamiltonella defensa 5AT (Acyrthosiphon pisum), complete genome.